GACGAACGCUGGCGGCGUGCCUAAUACAUGCAAGUCGAACGGUCUUUUCUAUGGAAGCUUGCUUCCGCUGAGGAGAUAGUGGCGAACGGGUGAGUAACACGUGGGUAACCUGCCCAUAAGAGGGGGAUAACAUCCGGAAACGGGUGCUAAUACCGCAUAGUUUUCUUGAUCGCAUGAUCGAGAAAGGAAAGACGGCCUUUGUGCUGUCACUUAUGGAUGGACCCGCGGCGUAUUAGUUAGUUGGUGAGGUAACGGCUCACCAAGACGAUGAUACGUAGCCGACCUGGGAGGGUGAGCGGCCACAUUGGGACUGAGACACGGCCCAAACUCCUACGGGAGGCAGCAGUAGGGAAUCUUACGCAAUGGACGAAAGUCUGACGGAGCAACGCCGCGUGAGUGAAGAAGGUUUUCGGAUCGUAAAACUCUGUUGUCAGAGAAGAACAAGUCGGAGAGUAACUGCUCCGGCCUUGACGGUAUCUGGCCAGAAAGCCACGGCUAACUACGUGCCAGCCGCCGCCGUAAGAC
rnacentral:rRNA from 1 species